AAGCCAAUUGGGGUCUUUGAGGCGAAUACGAAGCUAGGGCCGGUUGCGUACCGGCCGCUUCUCGCCGAGGCAGUCCAGGCUUUUCCCCCGGCGGUGGCCGCUCCAAGACAGCAUCUGUCAACGCUCCUCUUCUCCCCUCCUCCUCCUGCCGGGCCGGGCUCCGCCGGCUGCGGCCGAGAGGACGCGGGACCCGGCGCGGUGAGCCCAUCAGCUGUCAGGCGAGCGGCGAAGCGGCCGGAGGGCGGCGAGAGACACACAAAGAACGCGGUGGGCGGCGGCGGCGAAAGGGGACGGCAACUCCUCCCCGCGCCCACGGGUGCCACCGCCGGCCGUGCUUGUUCCGAGGCCGCGCAGACAAUGCGGCCGGGCUCGGCCCCGCGCGCCCCAGAGUGCGGGGCGCCCGCGCUUCCCCGACCCCAACUUGACCGUCUCCCGGCUCGCCCAGCCCCCUCCCGGGGUAGGGGCGCCCCCUCGCUCCGGUGGCCGGGGAAGGAAGUCGGUCCGCGGCCGCAGAUCCCGGCAACUUGCGAGCCGGGAAAAGUUUGCGGCGCCUCCGCGGGGCGGCGCGGCGCGGCGCGUCCCGCCCCUCGCGUCCGCGGUCACCGCGGGUGACUUUCUCGACUCGUCGUCAGCCGGGGCCGCAGCGCGGCCGGCGGGGACUGCGGGGAGGGCCGGAGUCCGUCCGAGGGCUCCCGCACCUCGGGCUGCGGAUUUCAGGUACUCCACUGGGCAUUUUCUCUUCAUGGAGCUUAUAGCAACAAAAGUGCUUUACAAAAGUGCUUUACAAAACACCAGACAUGUUGGCAUCAUCUCUUAGUUGGGCCCUGUGGCCAGGGAACCCCUCAUGAAACCACCUCUGCAGUCCUGGAGAGUUGCUGUAGAAGAAGGAAAAGAGAGGAAGACAACACAACGCAGGAGGGGAUAAGUACCUCUGGACACAAUGGAAGUAGUAGUUGUUGAGCAGAGGGAAAGGGAUAGGGGAAGGAUGUGGACUGCAGUGCUGCAGUGCCAGGUAAUAACUUUGAUCAUGUACCUCCUUGGCUCAGGUGCUGUCUCUUCUACUCUCUUCCUUACUUGUACUACCUUAUUUAGCACUUAAUUAUAUACUUUCUUGACUCACUUUGAGACACACUGAUUAUGUGGUCUGCCUCAAAGACAGAAUCCUAGUUUUGGAUUUUAGCAUUACUGAUCUAUGUAGCCUUGCAGGGGCUUAAGGAUGGCAGCUGUCUCUCUCCCUUGGGAUCUAGCUUUUGCAAAUAUUGAAGGGAAGAGAUUUCUAUGAUCUUAUAGGAAUAGAUCCACAGUUCAUCUCCAAAUUUGCUUUUAUAGAGAAGUGUGUGCCACCAAAACAAUGGAGAUACGGUCAGAGAGGCCCCUACCCCCAGAAUUUUAAUAUAAUUUUACUUUCCGGGACAUUUAUUCUUGUCAAAUACUUUCUCUCCUAUCAGCUCACUUGUUCCUCACAAAAGCCCUGUAAGAUAUUAAUAUUAUUAAACAGACCCCUAUGAAGCACCUCAAGUCUUUCUCUCUUCCCACUUCCAUUCUUGCACACCUUUUGCUAGACUAGUCUCUGCGUUCAUCACAUCAGGUUUCUAAAAUAAAAGUCCCCUAAUAACUUUCUAUUUGUUCCCUCAUCAAGUUGACCCUUUUUUGCCUGGCUUAUAAGGUGGCCUUAAAACCCCAUUUUCCUCUAAACAUUGUCUCUGUAGUUCAGUAACAUAGCAGGCUCAACACUAUGCAUGAGCCCAUAUUGCUUCCCUCAUUAGUGAUGCCUCCUCUCAAACCACCCAGAUUCUACUCAUUCUUCAAUUUCCAGCUUCUCCUUGGAGCCUUCCCAGAUCAUUAGCUUGUUAAAAAUCCCAGCUUUCUCUGAAUUCUGAUGGUAGCCACCGUUAUUUGGACAAUUAUGUCCUGGUCUUAAAGUCCUAAUGGAAAAAAAAAGUAUAUGAUGGACUUCAUGUAGAGAAGAAAGCACUGGACUGAGUUUUAAGACAGCUGCGAAGGAGCUGUGUGAGCCAAACCAGGUUACUUUACCUCUCUGGAUCUAUAUUUGCUGAUCUGUUAAGUGGAGAGGAUUGGGUCAGAUAAUCUUGGUGGUCUUUGCUUAUUCUGAGGUUCUUGGACAACUUGGCCUAGUUCACGUGGGAUGGGAUUGAAGAUCUUACUGAGUUCUUGGAUGGAAAUGUCAGUAACGGGCACUCAGUGCCUUCAGGACUUGUUCUAUGCUAUCCCAGAAAUUUCUGAUGCUAAACUUGGCAAUUUUUAAAUGCCAUAUUCCUUUUCUCCAAACUCUUUAACCACAAGAAUUCAGAGAAGGUUAAUGGGGGGUGACUUAGUUAUCUGGAUAAUAUGUAUUGUGGACAAUAUAGCAUUAUCCUUGGGAAUGAUUUCAUAUUGUUGAAUAAAUAGGAUCAACUUCUUGAUAAACCUUAGUCCUAAGCAUUUCAUCUUCAUUGGAUAGUGUUAUAUAGUAAUAUAUUUAUGUUUUCUUUUAAUCAUUUCAUAACUUGGAAAAUACUAAUGUAGUCAAAACUCUAGGGUAGGUGAUACAUGAGUUUCUAUAGUAAUCUGGUUGGACACAUGUUGUAAUUCUGCAUAUAUAUGUACAUUUAUCCCAUGCAUGUUAUGCCUAAACUAAGAAGGAUACCCCCAAAUUAAGAGGUGCUGUUGUACAUUGACCAGGCUUAAGAAUAUCUCUUUAAAGUGUGUCGACAUUUAAUUGACCUUUGAAAGUUCAUUCUGUUAAUCAUACUCAAAGUGCUAAAGCUAUGGUUGACUGCUCUGGUGUUUUUGUAUUCAUUCGUGCUUUAGCAUAUAAAUUCUUCAGCAUAAUUGCUACUUAUUUAGCAAGAGUUUCCUUUCUUUGAAAAUGUGAGUUCUGCUUGUAUUUUUGUGUCUUUCUUUCUUUCUUUUUUUAAACUUUGCUUCAGGCUGGGUAGUGGUAGAGGUUUGAAUUAAAAUGUUUUCCUGUCAGUA
rnacentral:lncRNA from 1 species